rnacentral:rRNA from 1 species
UGAGUAAUGUCUGGGAAACUGCCUGAUGGAGGGGGAUAACUACUGGAAACGGUAGCUAAUACCGCAUAACGUCGCAAGACCAAAGAGGGGGACCUUCGGGCCUCUUGCCAUCGGAUGUGCCCAGAUGGGAUUAGCUUGUUGGUGGGGUAACGGCUCACCAAGGCGACGAUCCCUAGCUGGUCUGAGAGGAUGACCAGCCACACUGGAACUGAGACACGGUCCAGACUCCUACGGGAGGCAGCAGUGGGGAAUAUUGCACAAUGGGCGCAAGCCUGAUGCAGCCAUGCCGCGUGUAUGAAGAAGGCCUUCGGGUUGUAAAGUACUUUCAGCGGGGAGGAAGGGAGUAAAGUUAAUACCUUUGCUCAUUGACGUUACCCGCAGAAGAAGCACCGGCUAACUCCGUGCCAGCAGCCGCGGUAAUACGGAGGGUGCAAGCGUUAAUCGGAAUUACUGGGCGUAAAGCGCACGCAGGCGGUUUGUUAAGUCAGA